UACAGAGGGUGCGAGCGUUGUCCGGAAUCACUGGGCGUAAAGGGCGCGUAGGCGGUGCGGUAAGUCACCUGUGAAAUCUCCUGGCUCAACUGGGAGCUUGCAGGCGAAACUGCCGUGCUGGAGUGUGGGAGAGGUGAGUGGAAUUCCCGGUGUAGCGGUGAAAUGCGUAGAUAUCGAGAGGAACACCUGUGGCGAAAGCGGCUCACUGGACCACAACUGACGCUGAGGCGCGAAAGCUAGGGGGAGCAAACAGG
rnacentral:rRNA from 1 species